UAAAGUGGCGCACGGGUGAGUAACACGUGGAUUAUCUACCUUUUAGUGGGGAAUACCUCUGGAAACCGGAGACAGUACCGCAUAAGCCUGUAAAGGGAAAGCAGCAAUGCGCUGAAAGAGGAGUCCGCGGCCGAUUAGCUAGUUGGCGGGGUAAUGGCCCACCAAGGCGAAGAUCGGUAGCCGGCCUGAGAGGGCACACGGCCACACUGGCACUGAAACACGGGCCAG
rnacentral:rRNA from 1 species